rnacentral:misc_RNA from 1 species
GAUGAAGAACGUAGUGAAAUGCGAUAAGUAAUGUGAAUUGCAGAUUUCAGUGAAUCAUCGAAUCUUUGAACGCACCUUGCGCCUUGUGGUAUUCCACAAGGCAUGCCCGUUUGAGUAUCAUUAAAUCAUCAACUCUAAAACCUUUGUGGUUUUUUUAGAGCUUGGUCUUGAGGGUUUUGCAGGCUUUUUUUUUUUCGAGUCUGCUCCCUUUAAAUGCAUUAGCGAGACUUCCCUAUGCUGAACCGUCUCUUUGACGUGAUAAUUAUCUGCGUCGAAUUUUGGUUCUCGUUGGGCUUGCUUCUAAUCGUCUGUUAAAGACAAAACGGAUUUGGGUGCAUAUAUGCGACUUUUUCCAAAACCUUUUUUGAUCUCAAAUCGGGUAGGACUACCCGCUGAACUUAAGCAUAUCAAUAAGCGGAGGA